CCUACGGGAGGCAGCAGUGAGGAAUAUUGGUCAAUGGGCUGAAGCCUGAACCAGCCAAGUCGCGUGAGGGAAUAAGGCCCUACGGGUCGUAAACCUCUUUUGUCAGGGAGCAAGGUGCAGGUCGGGACCUGCUGUGAGAGUACCUGAAGAAAAAGCAUCGGCUAACUCCGUGCCAGCCGCCGCGGUAAUACGGAGGAUGCGAGCGUUCUCCGGAUUUAUUGGGUUUACGGGGUGCGCAGGCGGGGGCCCAAGUCAGCGGUAAAAUCGCGGGGCUCAACCCCGCUCCGCCGUUGAAACUGUGUCCCUUGAGUGCGCUAAGGGUAGGCAGAAUGCGUGGUGUAGCGGUGAAAUGCAUAGAGAUCACGCAGAACUCCGAUCGCGAAGGCAGCCUACCGGCGCGCAACUGACGCGCAUGCACGAAAGCGUGGGUAUCGAACAGGAUUAGAUACCCGAGUAGUC
rnacentral:rRNA from 1 species